AUUGAACGCUGGCGGCAGGCCUAACACAUGCAAGUCGAGCGAGCGGCGGACGGGUGAGUAAUGUCUGUGAAACUGCCUGAUGGAGGGGGAUUACUACUGGAAACGGUAGCUAAUACCGCAUACCAUCAGAUGUGCCCAGAUGGGGUUAGCUAGUAGGUGGGGUAACGGCUCACCUAGGCGACCAUCCCUAGCUGGUCUGAGAGGAUGACCAGCCACACUGGAACUGAGACACGGUCCAGACUCCUACGGGAGGCAGCAGUGGGGAAUAUUGGACAAUGGGCGCAAGCCUGAUGCAGCCAUGCCGCGGGUGUGAAGAAGGCCUUCGGGUUGUAAAGCACGUUAAGCGGGGAGGCGUUACCCGCAGAAGAAGCACCGGCUAACUCCGUGCCAGCAGCCGCGGUAAUAC
rnacentral:rRNA from 1 species